GAUGAAGAACGUAGUGAAAUGCGAUAAGUAGUGUGAAUUGCAGAAUUCAGUGAAUCAUCGAAUCUUUGAACGCACAUUGCGCCCUUUGGUAUUCCAAAGGGCAUGCCUGUUCGAGCGUCAUUUGUACCCUCAAGCUUUGCUUGGUGUUGGGCGUCUUGUCUCUAGCUUUGCUGGAGACUCGCCUUAAAGUAAUUGGCAGCCGGCCUACUGGUUUCGGAGCGCAGCACAAGUCGCACUCUCUAUCAGCAAAGGUCUAGCAUCCAUUGAGACUUUUUUUCAACUUUUGACCUCGGAUCAGGUAGGGAUACCCGCUGAACUUAAGCAUAUCAAUAAGCGGAGGA
rnacentral:misc_RNA from 1 species